CCUAACACAUGCAAGUCGAACGGAGACAUUGAGCGGAAGUUUUCGGAUGGAAGCUUAGUGUUCUUAGUGGCGGACGGGUGAGUAACGCGUGGAUGACCUACCUAUAUGUGGGGGAUAACAGUUGGAAACGACUGCUAAUACCGCAUGUGAUCACGAUUAUAAUGGUUGUGAGGAAAGAUGGCCUCUGUUUACAAGCUGUCGCAUAUAGAUGGGUCCGCGUCUGAUUAGCUAGUUGGUGGGGUAAAGGCCUACCAAGGCGACGAUCAGUAGCCGGCCUGAGAGGGUGAACGGCCACACUGGGACUGAGACACGGCCCAGACUCCUACGGGAGGCAGCAGUGGGGAAUAUUGCGCAAUGGGGGAAACCCUGACGCAGCGACGCCGCGUGAGCGAAGAAGGCCUUAGGGUUGUAAAGCUCUGUUGUAAGGGAAGAAUGGCAUCGGGAGUAAUAUGCCUGAUGCAUGACGGUACCUUACGAGGAAGCCCCGGCUAACUACGUG
rnacentral:rRNA from 1 species